CGGUAAUACGUAGGUUGCAAGCGUUAUCCGGAAUUAUUGGGCGUAAAGCGCGCGUAGUCGGUUUUUUAAGUCUGAUGUGAAAGCCCACGGCUCAACCGUGGAGGGUCAUUGGAAACUGGAAAACUUGAGUGCAGAAGAGGAAAGUGGAAUUCCAUGUGUAGCGGUGAAAUGCGCAGAGAUAUGGAGGUACGCCAGUGGCGAAGGCGACUUUCUGGUCUGUAACUGACGCUGAUGUGCGAAAGCGU
rnacentral:rRNA from 1 species